GAUGAAGAACGCAGCGAAAUGCGAUAAGUAAUGCGAAUUGCAGAAUUCAGUGAAUCAUCGAAUCUUUGAACGCACAUUGUGCCCGCUAGUAUUCUGGCGGGCAUGCCUGUCCGAGCGUCAUUUCAACCCUCAAGCCCCCGGGCUUGGUGUUGGGGAUCGGCGAGCCUCCGCGCCCGCCGUCCCCUAAAUCUAGUGGCGGUCUCGCUGUAGCUUCCUCUGCGUAGUAGCACACCUCGCACUGGGAAACAGCGCGGCCACGCCGUUAAACCCCCAACUUCUGAACGUUUGACCUCGGAUCAGGUAGGAAUACCCGCUGAACUUAAGCAUAUCAAUAAGCGGAGGA
rnacentral:misc_RNA from 1 species